AUGAACGCUGGCGGCGUGCUUAACACAUGCAAGUCGAACGAAGCACUUUAUUUGAUUUCCUUCGGGACUGAUUAUUUUGUGACUGAGUGGCGGACGGGUGAGUAACGCGUGGGUAACCUGCCUUGUACAGGGGGAUAACAGUUGGAAACGGCUGCUAAUACCGCAUAAGCGCACAGCAUCGCAUGAUGCAGUGUGAAAAACUCCGGUGGUAUAAGAUGGACCCGCGUUGGAUUAGCUAGUUGGUGAGGUAACGGCCCACCAAGGCGACGAUCCAUAGCCGACCUGAGAGGGUGACCGGCCACAUUGGGACUGAGACACGGCCCAAACUCCUACGGGAGGCAGCAGUGGGGAAUAUUGCACAAUGGGCGAAAGCCUGAUGCAGCGACGCCGCGUGAGCGAAGAAGUAUUUCGGUAUGUAAAGCUCUAUCAGCAGGGAAGAUAAUGACGGUACCUGACUAAGAAGCACCGGCUAAAUACGUGCCAGCAGCCGCGGUAAAACGUAGGGUGCAAGCGUUGUCCGGAAUUACUGGGUGUAAAGGGAGCGCAGGCGGACCGGCAAGUUGGAAGUGAAAACCAUGGGCUCAACCCGUGAAUUGCUUUCAAAACUGCUGGCCUUGAGUAGUGCAGAGGUAGGUGGAAUUCCCGGUGUAGCGGUGGAUGCGUAGAUAUCGGGAGGAACACCAGUGGCGAAGGCGACCUACUGGGCACCAACUGACGCUGAGGCUCGAAAGCAUGGGUAGCAAACAGGAUUAGAUACCCUGGUAGUCCAUGCCGUAAACGAUGAUUACUAGGUGUUGGGGGAUUGACCCCCUCAGUGCCGCAGUUAACACAAUAAGUAAUCCACCUGGGGAGUACGACCGCAAGGUUGAAACUCAAAGGAAUUGACGGGGACCCGCACAAGCGGUGGAGCAUGUGGUUUAAUUCGAAGCAACGCGAAGAACCUUACCAAGUCUUGACAUCCUUCUGACCGGUACUUAACCGUACCUUCUCUUCGGAGCAGGAGUGACAGGUGGUGCAUGGUUGUCGUCAGCUCGUGUCGUGAGAUGUUGGGUUAAGUCCCGCAACGAGCGCAACCCUUAUCUUUAGUAGCCAGCGGUUAAGCCGGGCACUCUAGAGAGACUGCCAGGGAUAACCUGGAGGAAGGCGGGGAUGACGUCAAAUCAUCAUGCCCCUUAUGACUUGGGCUACACACGUGCUACAAUGGCGUAAACAAAGGGAAGCAAAGCUGUGAAGCCGAGCAAAUCUCAAAAAUAACGUCUCAGUUCGGACUGUAGUCUGCAACCCGACUACACGAAGCUGGAAUCGCUAGUAAUCGCAGAUCAGAAUGCUGCGGUGAAUACGUUCCCGGGUCUUGUACACACCGCCCGUCACACCAUGGGAGUUGGGAAUGCCCGAAGCCAGUGACCUAACCGAAAGGAAGGAGCUGUCGAAGGCAGGCUCGAUAACUGGGGUG
rnacentral:rRNA from 1 species